AUUUGGGGGAAUGUAGGUAUAUAUCUUAUGAUGCAUAUAUACAAAUCGACUACGUCGUAUAAAGUUCUAAAUAGAUAAUUGAUUGUGACAGAUUUCUAUUUAUGUGGCUCGACCAAUUCUUGUGCCAGCAGUCGCGGCAACACAAGUGAGACUAGUGUUAUUCAUCUUUAUUAGGUUUAAAGGGUACCUAGACGGUUUUUUUAACCUGAAAAAUGUACAAAAAAACUAGAGUUUUAUAUGAGAGGUAAAUAUUAGGACUAUUGGUGUAGAGAUGAAAUUUUUUGAUACUAAUUGGACGUAUAAUGGCGAAGGCGAUCCUCUAUUUAUAAACUGACGUUAAGGGACGAAGGCUUGGGGAGCGAAUAGGAUUAGAUACCCUAGUAGUCCAGGCAGAAAAUUAUGAAUGUUAUAGAUUAAGUAUAUAAUUAGUGUAUAAAUGAAAGUGUAAGCAUUCCACCUCAAGAGUAAUGUGGCAACGCAGGAACUGAAAUCAU
rnacentral:rRNA from 1 species